CGUAGGGGCGAGCGUUGUCCGGAAUUACUGGGCGUAAAGGGAGCGUAGGCGGUCGAUUAAGUUAGAUGUGAAACCCCCGGGCUUAACUUGGGGACUGCAUCUAAUACUGGUUGACUUAGAGUACAGGAGAGGGAAGCGGAAUUCCUAGUGUAGCGGUGAAAUGCGUAGAUAUUAGGAGGAACACCAGUGGCGAAGGCGGCUUUCUGGACUGACACUGACGCUGAGGCUCGAAAGCGUGGGGAGCAAACAGGAUU
rnacentral:rRNA from 1 species